CCCCAUAAAUAGGUUUACAGCCUACCGCCUUAACUCGGCCACCUAACC
rnacentral:tRNA from 1 species